AUGGCAACCACUGCAAACAGCCGUUGGCGUGGGCAUCCCGUUGUCUCCGUCGUAGUCUACGACACCGUCAAUAAGCUCGCGCAAUCACCCUCCGGCGCGGUCCGCCGCAUCGUCUCCGGCCUCAUCUACGACACCAUCGGCGAGCUCAUACAAACGCCCCCCGGCGCGGUCCGCCGCAUCGUCUCCGGCCUCAUCUACGACACCAUCGGCGAGCUCAUACAAACGCCCCCCGGCGCGGUCCGCCGCAUCGUCUCCGGCCUCAUCUACGACACCAUCGGCGAGCUCAUACAAACGCCCCCCAGCGCGGUCCGCCGCAUCGUCUCCGGCCUCAUCUACGACACCAUCGGCGAGCUCAUACAAACGCCCCCCGGCGCGGUCCGCCGCAUCGUCUCCGGCCUCAUCUACCACGCCGUCGGCGAGCUCAUCCAAACGCCCUCCGGCGCGGUCCGCCGCGUCGCCUCCGGCCUCGUCUACGACGCCGUCGGCGAGCUCGUCCAAACACCCUCCGGCGCGGUCCGCCGCGCCGUCGAGCACGUACAAACAGCCACUUGCGCGGUCCAUCGCGUCGUCCCCGGCCUGUCUGCGACGUCCUCGCGCGCGGCCACCUCCUCUAGCCGGUGUCAAUGGCUCUACGGUUGGGUUUGCCUUCGUCACGCAUGCAUGCAGGCUCACGCAUAUCCCACUUGCAUGCACGUUGAGGAGGUGAAAGGAAAUUGCUUUGAUUGA
rnacentral:rRNA from 1 species